AGAAGUAUUUAUUUCAUGUGAAGCCAAUAAAUUCAAAGAGGAAAAAUGUUGCGGUACAGGUACAUCUCCGCCUCUGCAUUUCACGUUCAGGCAGGGAAGGCUGCGGCAGGAACAGUUAUCAUGCGGCCAUACAUCAUGGGACGGCUACUCUGUCUGCGACCCCGCAUGACCCAUAUGUUUACAGAUGACACCGUGGUCACCGGGGAAGAAACCAUACGCCCCCACACACAUGUGAGAGUGUAGCGCGAUCUAAAUCCAGUGAUGAGUGUGCCCAGCUGCCGACUGACCAUGGGGCCGACGCAGGAAUUUCGUAAGAUCUACCAGUACACAGAUCCGUGCGUGCAGCUCUCUUGUAAGUAGUUGUAGGAAUUUUGUACUCCGUGAUAAUCACGAUAAUUUUGCAGCGGUAAUCACCGAGUGAUUCCAUUGGCCUCGGUUGCCAUGACACAAGUGAAGAAACUGUUCCCACAGAUCAGAUCAGAUAAAUCUGGGCAUCGUUGUCUCCAGCAGGGUGAUGCUGAUUUGUCACCCUUGUGAGAGUGAGAUGGGGCCGGCCAUGAACCUCUUCUGGUCUGCCCACGUUGGCGCCGACAUCCUGUGCAAGCUGCCACAUGCGUAUGUAUCAACACACACCGCUGUUCGAAGAAAAAGAAACGGAAUGGUACUGCUAGUAGUACAAGAUACUUGGAUUUAUUACAGGAAAAUGCUUCCAAGAAUAAAUUGGUUUUUAUUCAGAUGAGGAAUAGAAUAGGCGAGUGGAGGCUGAGACAAAGCACAUGCUCACCUCUGUGAUGAUCUGGAUGCACCUGCACC
rnacentral:lncRNA from 1 species